CUAGAUGGCAGGGUAACGGCCUACCAUGGCGACGAUCAGUAGCCGGUCUGAGAGGAUGAACGGCCACAUUGGGAUUGAGAUACGGCCCAGACUCCUACGGGAGGCAGCAGUGGGGAAUAUUGGGCAAUGGGCGAAAGCCUGACCCAACAACGCCGCGUGAAGGAAGAAGGCUUUCGGGUUGUAAACUUCUUUUAUCAGGGACGAAGGAUGUGACGGUACCUGAUGAAUAAGCCACGGCUAACUACGUGCCAGCAGCCGCGGUAAUACGUAGGUGGCAAGCGUUGUCCGGAUUUACUGGGUGUAAAGGGCGCGCAGGCGGGAGAGCAAGUCAGAUGUGAAAUCUAUGGGCUUAACCCAUAAACUGCAUUUGAAACUGUUUUUCUUGAGUGAUUGAGAGGCAAGCGGAAUUCCUAGUGUAGCGGUGAAAUGCGUAGAUAUUAGGAGG
rnacentral:rRNA from 1 species